rnacentral:rRNA from 1 species
AAAACGUAGGAGGCGAGCGUUAUCCGGAGUUACUGGGCGUAAAGCGCGUGUAGGCGGUGGGGCAAGUCAGGCGUGAAAGCUGUCGGCUAAACUGGCAGAGGACGUCUGAUACUGCUCGACUAGAGGACGGUAGAGGGGCGUGGAAUUCCGGGUGUAGCGGUGAAAUGCGCAGAUAUCCGGAGGAACACCAGUGGCGAAGGCGGCGCCCUGGGCCGUACCUGACGCUGAGACGCGAAAGCGUGGGGAGCGAACGGGAUUAGAGACCCCGGUAGUCCACGCAGUAAACGAUGCAUACUAGGCGUUCGUGGCGGGAAAACCGCUGGGAGUGCCGGAGCCAACGCGCUAAGUAUGCCGCCUGGGGAGUACGGUCGCAAGGCU